rnacentral:rRNA from 1 species
GGACAUUUUUGUUCAUUGACAGUGGACGAGUGUCUGGUGCGAGCAAUACCAUGUGAACGAUGAAGGCCUUUUUGGUUGUAAAGUUCUUUUACGAGGGAUAAUUAUGAUAGUACUUCGUGAAUAAGUGACAGCAAACUAUGUGCCAGCAGCUGCGGUAAUACAUAGGUCGCGAGCAUUAUUCGGAUUUAUUGGGCGUAAAGCAAGCGCAGGCGGAUGUGUAAGUUCUGUGUUAAAUGCAGCUACUCAAUAGUUGUAUGCACCGAAUACUACAUGUCUAGAUUGUGGUAGGGAGUUUCGGAAUUAAGCAUGGAGCGGUGGAAUGUGUAGAUAUGCUUAAGAACACCAGAGGCGAAGGCGGAAACUUAGGCCAUAAAUGACGCUUAGGCUUGAAAGUGUGGGGAGCAAAUGGGAUUAGAUACCCCAGUAGUCCACACCGUAAACGAUGGGUAUUAGAUAUUAGGGCUUUAGCUUUAGUGUUGUAGCUUACGCGUUAAAUACCCCGCCUGGGUAGUACAUAUGCAAAUAUGAAACUCAAAGGAAUUGACGGGGACCUGAACAAGUGGGUGGAGCAA